GCCACCGAGUCACGGCAUCGCUCCGGUGGGAGCGGCUGCUGCGGCCAUCGGGGCCAGCCUGCCACCCAACACCGCCUUGUCAGCCAGACCAGAGUCCUCUGGUGCCGUGUCAAACCUUUCCUUAAACACCGCCAGGGACGGGGAUUCCACCACCUCGCUCGGAAGUCGCAGGAAGACGGAUUCUUCAGGCACUUUCCCCACCACAGGCUGCAGAUCCCAAGGCCAUUGAACCCUCUGGGACCUGGACACUGGAGCUCCUGUCAAGCCUUCUCCCUUAUCUCUGUGUUUGGCAGGUGUCUGGCCGUGGAUUUCACACUUCCACUGACCUCUGAGCGCUGCCAAAGCGAGGGAGGCACAUUGGACAGAUAACACGUCCCCAUUCCACCUCCCCAAGGCCUUUAGGCUCUGGGGAGACUUAUUUAAAAAUAUGCCAGAUUUAAGGUCUGUCUCAAGGCAAAUAAAAACUGUGUAUUGUUUAAAUCACAUUUCCACGGCCUGCAGAUUUAAUACAGGAGUUGUAUUCUGGUAGCACAAAAAUUCAAAUGACACGUAGAGCAAGCAUGCAAUCUACAACACGUAUUUUGCUUUUAUAUACAGUACGCCUGCAUAAUUCCCCAUCAAAUUCUCACUUUUGAGGUUUCCAUGAAUUAGAAGCAAAACCAUGACCUUGAAAAUAAAUUACAUAAGCACUGUGGAUACACCGUGAA